GCAAUACCUAGGGUAUUGCACGGUGUACAAUUACUUUAAUCCUAGCCAUUCAAUUGAUCUAAUGCUCAAAAAUUGGACAGCUCAUUUAGACACGUCAGCGAUCCGUGUGAGCUCUCAUUUUUCUCUUCUCUUUCAAUUUCUCCUCUCUCUCUUCUUCACGCUUACCCGUAUUCCCAUUUAAAAAUUUCAGAAACUCUCUCUGACUCUCUCUCUUCCAGUUCCAGCCGAACAUGCCUCAGAAUCUAUCUCUCUCAUGCCUCAAAAAAAGCCACCAGUGAUGCUCCGGUUACCUCUCCACCAGAGAAUGAAUGUGAACCAACAGUGUUUCAGCUACCCACCCAAAUGUGAUUAGAUCUGAUGUGCAGUUUUCAAGGAGAUUCAUCAAGUUGAUAAAUGUUCCGGGCUACUCUCCAAAUGGGCUGAUUCCAUUAACUUACCGCUUACAGAAGAGAUGGGAAUUGAGGCAAGGAACAGAGUACAAGAAAUCUCUCAAGUUUGCCAUGCCAUCAAGGAGGGAUUAGAUUUUUGACCCCUUGGAACGACAGUCAGGGAGGUCUUUGUGUAGUUUAACACAAACCAUCCCAAUGGAAUACCACUGUAGUUAAUAACUUUUUUUCAAUUGGCUAAUUCCAAAUGCAAUUUUGGUUUUGGGAAAUGCAAGAAUCAGUUGAUGGCUUUAUUUUGAUGAAUAUAUGUAAUGUAUACAACUCUGUUUUACGAAUAGCAAGUAGUGAAGGAGUUCUGUUACUAGCUUUUAGGCCUUUAAAUGUAUUUCAAAAUUUUUAUCC